rnacentral:lncRNA from 1 species
AUUUGGUAACAAGUUAAUUUAAAUUAUUGCAAUCUUUGUGUUUCUUCUAGGUUAAUACAUUUGAGAAGAAAGCACUAUAAGAUGAAUUUUAAAAAAUCUGUCCCCCUGUGUUCAUAAGCAUGUUUGUGUGAUGAUAGUGAAGGUGCAUGUGAAGACCAGGACUGAGUGCAACCUGGCUGAGUUAGGACCAAUCCUGAGAGUGGCUUUGCCUCACAGCUCCUUGCCUGUUCUGCUAAUCUGGUUGGAGAGAAAACCAACAGGAUGCCCAAGCUUUUCUCAGACCUGCCUGCAAGGCUUCGGUCCUGGCUCUCCUUGCAAUGCAGUGGAAGAGAUCAUGUCCAUGGAGGUCUAAGCAAGGUCAUCUUGCUGGACUGAGCUUUUGACAUGAGUAUUGCUCCAGUGGGAAAGCUCAGCUGAGAAUCAAUGUUCUACUUCUACAGUUCAGGCAAAUGUUGAUGCAUUGAAAAUAUUCAGAGAAGAGUUAUGAACCUUCCUAGAUGCCCUAAAAAUCAGUGGAAGACUCAGAGAUCCUGGUAAGCAUUAUUUCUUUUUGUAGUGCAAAAAUAUGC